rnacentral:piRNA from 1 species
AACAGAAGUAGCUUUGGCCAGGAAUCCAUU